rnacentral:rRNA from 1 species
AUUGAACGCUGGCGGCAGGCUUAACACAUGCAAGUCGAACGAGUGGCGGACGGGUGAGUAAUGUCUGGGAAACUCCCUUAUGGAGGGGGAUAACUACUGGAAACGGUAGCUAAUACCGCAUACCAUCGGAUGUGCCCAGAUGGGAUUAGCUAGUUGGUGGGGUAACGGCUCACCUAGGCGACGAUCCCUAGCUGGUCUGAGAGGAUGACCAGCCACACGGGGACUGAGACACGGCCCAGACUCCUACGGGAGGCAGCAGUGGGGAAUAUUGCGCAAUGGGCGCAAGCCUGAUGCAGCCAUGCCGCGUGUAUGAAGAAGGCCUUCGGGUUGUAAAGUACUUUCGGCGGGGAGGCGUUACUCGCAGAAGAAGCACCGGCUAACUCCGUGCCAGCAGCCGCGGUAAUUC